rnacentral:rRNA from 1 species
UGCAGUCGAGCGGUAGAGAGAAGCUUGCUUCUCUUGAGAGCGGCGGACGGGUGAGUAAUGCCUAGGAAUCUGCCUGGUAGUGGGGGAUAACGUUCGGAAACGGACGCUAAUACCGCAUACGUCCUACGGGAGAAAGCAGGGGACCUUCGGGCCUUGCGCUAUCAGAUGAGCCUAGGUCGGAUUAGCUAGUUGGUGGGGUAAUGGCUCACCAAGGCGACGAUCCGUAACUGGUCUGAGAGGAUGAUCAGUCACACUGGAACUGAGACACGGUCCAGACUCCUACGGGAGGCAGCAGUGGGGAAUAUUGGACAAUGGGCGAAAGCCUGAUCCAGCCAUGCCGCGUGUGUGAAGAAGGUCUUCGGAUUGUAAAGCACUUUAAGUUGGGAGGAAGGGCAGUAAAUUAAUACUUUGCUGUUUUGACGUUACCGACAGAAUAAGCACCGGCUAACUCUGUGCCAGCAGCCGCGGUAAUACAGAGGGUGCAAGCGUUAAUCGGAAUUACUGGGCGUAAAGCGCGCGUAGGUGGUUCGUUAAGUUGGAUGUGAAAUCCCCGGGCUCAACCUGGGAACUGCAUUCAAAACUGACGAGCUAGAGUAUGGUAGAGGGUGGUGGAAUUUCCUGUGUAGCGGUGAAAUGCGUAGAUAUAGGAAGGAACACCAGUGGCGAAGGCGACCACCUGGACUGAUACUGACACU